UUAAUUAUUUUAGCAGAAAUUAACGUUUUUUGGUUUUCUGUUUUCUGCAUCUAUUGGAGAGAGUAGAUGGAGAGGAGUGAGUGAUUUGGUGCUCCAAUUAUACCAAGCGCAACGAAGUAGAAGCGAUAAUGAUUCUUCCGGCGGACUCUUACAUUGGUACUGAAAGAAUAGGUUGGUUUUUCCUUUAACUUAAUUUUUUGGACAGUAAUUCAGACUUGUAUAUGUUUUUAAUUUGUCGAAUUUGGAACUUCUAUGUAUGAGGAAUUUGUUGCCUCGCGCUUCUUUUAAACCAUUUGGUAAUGUCGCUAUUUGGGUUAUGUGAAUCAAGGUAGGCGUUUGUUGUGUUUAUUUUGGUGUAUGUGUAUUUUCUUUGAGUAAUUUGGUAAUUGAUUUUAUUAUUUCUUCGAUAUUUCGACAUGAGAAAUUGGGGUAAUUGGGUUUGUUCAGAGAUUUUGUUGAACUCUCUUAUGGCUAAAUUUGGUUAGGCUGUUGAUUCCUGUUGUAAGUAAAUUGAAAAGUGUAUGUGUUGAACUAAAGUAGUUUAAGAGUUGGUAAAAAGUCUAACAUUGUUGCGAGAAAAAGAAAACAUAUUCGGGGUAAUUUUUUCUUUCUUCUCUAUGACUUGAUGAUUGACAUCUUGAAUGUUUCCAUAGCUCCUGGUAAGUGAUGCUGUUAAUGAAAGAGUAUGAAUAUUAGUUUGGUGUGAAAGUAGAUAUAAAUUUUCAUUGGAAUUUGUAUUUUUAUUUUGGUUGAGUAUCGUAAUAUGUAUUUGGAAUAACUUACGAUUGGAUGAUUUCAGGCUGUAGGAGCGCUAUAUAGCUCCAUAACCAUUGAAGUAUUACCUGAACCAUUUUAUAAAGAAAGUAAGCACAUAUAGUUUGUUUGGAAUUUAGGGUAAGUAGUUUACCUGUUUCUUUUGGGAGGUCAUUGUAGAUUUCCUUGUAGACUAUAUUUUUAACUCCAUUAGGCUUUUUGUCCUCUCCUUGUAGGAUGGUUAGUCCUGUAGGUGAUGUAACUCUAGAAAGAGCCACGUAGAGUUUUCCAUGGCUGAAAACUGGAUUUGGUAGAUAAAGCACGAC
rnacentral:lncRNA from 1 species